rnacentral:rRNA from 1 species
ACAUCCAGAGAAUUUAGCAGAGAUGCUUUAGUGCCUUCGGGAACUCUGAGACAGGUGCUGCAUGGCUGUCGUCAGCUCGUGUUGUGAAAUGUUGGGUUAAGUCCCGNAACGAGCGCAACCCUUUAUCCUUUGUUGCCAGCACGUAAUGGUGGGAACUCAAAGGAGACUGCCGGUGAUAAACCGGAGGAAGGUGGGGAUGACGUCAAGUCAUCAUGGCCCUUACGAGUAGGGCUACACACGUGCUACAAUGGCGCAUACAAAGAGAAGCGACCUCGCGAGAGCAAGCGGACCUCAUAAAGUGCGUCGUAGUCCGGAUUGGAGUCUGCAACUCGACUCCAUGAAGUCGGAAUCGCUAGUAAUCGUAAAUCAGAAUCGUUACGGUCGAAUACGUUCCCGGGCCUUGUACACACCGCCCGUCACACCAUGGGAGUGGGUUGCAAAAGAAGUAGAUAGCUUAACCUUCGGGAGGGCGUUUACCACUUUGUGAUUCAUGACUGGGGUGAAGUCGUAACAAGGUAAGCGUAGUGCU